AUUGAACGCUGGCGGCAUGCUUUACACAUGCAAGUCGAACGGUAACAGGCCUUCGGGUGCUGACGAGUGGCGAACGGGUGAGUAAUGCAUCGGAACGUGCCCAGAGGUGGGGGAUAACGCAGCGAAAGCUGUGCUAAUACCGCAUGUGAUCUGAGGAUGAAAGCGGGGGACCAGGCAGCAAUGUUUGGCCUCGCGCCUUUGGAGCGGCCGAUGUCAGAUUAGGUAGUUGGUGGGGUAAAGGCCUACCAAGCCGACGAUCUGUAGCUGGUCUGAGAGGACGACCAGCCACACUGGGACUGAGACACGGCCCAGACUCCUACGGGAGGCAGCAGUGGGGAAUUUUGGACAAUGGGCGCAAGCCUGAUCCAGCAAUGCCGCGUGCGGGAAGAAGGCCUUCGGGUUGUAAACCGCUUUUGUACGGAACGAAAAGGCUCUGGCUAAUACCUGGGGCUGAUGACGGUACCGUAAGAAUAAGCACCGGCUAACUACGAG
rnacentral:rRNA from 1 species